ACUGGCCAUAUACAGCUCUUCACGGCAACACUGCAAUGCCAAAAGACAGUGAAGCAAUGUCCUCCAAUUUCUGAGAAAAAGCGUGAUGCAAGAACUUUACAUCCCGCCAAACUGAUCUUCAAAAACAAAUGUAACAAACAGGACUGCGCUGAACACCUGAGGUGGGAACAGGUGCACCAGAGAAAGAGAGGAGGCCUAUUUCCCAGCUGACUCCAGUGGGGCCCCGGUGUGCUCAGCUGCUCCCACUAGCCCACAGAAAGAGUCUCUGUUUGUUCUCGCCUACUAUCAAAAUGGCAGUAAACAUAUCAAUUCUGAGUAGUACUCCAAAAUAGACCCACAGAGAUUUUUUGACUUUCCAUGGCGCUUUUCUAUCUCAGCUCUUUCCAACCUGGUUGUUCAAAACUCUUGCAAAAUAGCCAUUUCUAGCAAUUGGCUUCCAUAAGGCUAUAGACUGCCAA